rnacentral:rRNA from 1 species
UAUACCGUGAAACUGCGAAUGGCUCAUUAAAUCAGUUAUCGUUUAUUUGAUAGUACCUUACUACUUGGAUAACCGUGGUAAUUCUAGAGCUAAUACAUGCUGAAAACCCCAACUUCGGGAGGGGUGUAUUUAUUAGAUAAAAAACCAACGCCCUUCGGGGCUUCUUGGUGAUUCAUGAUAACUUUACGGAUCGCAUGGCCUUGCGCUGGCGACGGUUCAUUCAAAUUUCUGCCCUAUCAACUUUCGAUGGUAAGGUAUUGGCUUACCAUGGUUUCAACGGGUAACGGGGAAUUAGGGUUCGAUUCCGGAGAGGGAGCCUGAGAAACGGCUACCACAUCCAAGGAAGGCAGCAGGCGCGCAAAUUACCCAAUCCCGACACGGGGAGGUAGUGACAAUAAAUACUGAUACAGGGCUCUUUUGGGUCUUGUAAUUGGAAUGAGUACAAUUUAAACCUCUUAACGAGGAACAAUUGGAGGGCAAGUCUGGUGCCAGCAGCCGCGGUAAUUCCAGCUCCAAUAGCGUAUAUUAAAGUUGUUGCAGUUAAAAAGCUCGUAGUUGAAACUUGGGUCUGGCUGGCGGGUCCGCCUCACCGCGUGUACUUGUCCGGCCGGGCCUUCCUUCUGGAGAACCUCAUGCCCUUUACUGGGCGUGUUGGGGACCAGGACUUUUACUUUGAAAAAAUUAGAGUGUUCAAAGCAGGCCUUUGCUCGAAUACGUUAGCAUGGAAUAAUAGAAUAGGACGUGCGGUCCUAUUUUGUUGGUUUCUAGGACCGCCGUAAUGAUUAAUAGGGACAGUCGGGGGCAUCAGUAUUCAAUUGUCAGAGGUGAAAUUCUUGGAUUUAUUGAAGACUAACUACUGCGAAAGCAUUUGCCAAGGAUGUUUUCAUUAAUCAGUGAACGAAAGUUAGGGGAUCGAAGACGAUCAGAUACCGUCGUAGUCUUAACCGUAAACUAUGCCGACUAGGGAUCGGGCGAUGUUCUUUUUCUGACUCGCUC